rnacentral:rRNA from 1 species
UGGGGAAUAUUGGACAACGGGCGCAAGCCUGAUCCAGCAAUGCCGCGUGUGUGAAGAAGGCCUUCGGGUUGUAAAGCACUUUUAUCAGGAGCGGAACGCUGUCGGCUAAUACCCGGCGGAACUGACGGUACCUGAGGAAUAAGCACCGGCUAACUUCGUGCCAGCAGCCGCGGUAAUACGAAGGGUGCAAGCGUUAAUCGGAAUUACUGGGCGUAAAGCGUGCGUAGGCGGUUUCUUAAGUCUGCUGUGAAAUCCCCGGGCUCAACCUGGGAAUGGCAGUGGAUACUGGGAGGCUAGAGUGUGUCAGAGGGUGGUGGAAUUCCCGGUGUAGCGGUGAAAUGCGUAGAGAUCGGGAGGAACAUCAGUGGCGAAGGCGGCCACCUGGGACAACACUGACGCUGAGGCACGAAAGCGUGGGGAGCAAACAGGAUUAGAUACCCUGGUAGUCCACGCCCUAAAACGAUGCGAACUGGAUGUUGGUCUCAACUCGGAGAUCAGUGUCGAAGCUAACGCGUUAAGUUCGCCGCCUGGGGAGUACGGUCGCAAGACUGAAACUU